rnacentral:lncRNA from 1 species
UCACAAUGAAAAAAUUAUCUAUGAAAGAAAUCCUCUCAAGGAUGUCAAGUCAAAGCACUUAAAAGAAUAAAUUCUUAUAAAUUUGAUAAAGAGGAGUUGACCCCAGAGAAUAAAAAAUCAACUUGGGCAUGUUGGAGCUCACUGUCACAGAUUGCUAGUCAACUCUUGUGGAGCUCGAGUUGACUCUCUCAGAUAGGAUAAAAGACUAUAUUUUCAGAACCCCGACACGAGCUGACUCAUGAAGAAGUCGAGUCAAUCCUUGGACAGACCGAGUUGACUCAUAAAGAUGGCAAGUUAACUCUUUUAAAAAAGAUAGAAUAUAAAAUUUUUGAAUUCUGAGGUUGAGCCGACUGCUGAAUAGGACGAGUGGACUCCUGAAGACUUAGAGCUGACUUUUGACACAAGGAAGUUGUAAUAGUUAGUUUAUUCUAACUUUCUCCAACAACUAUUUUUUUAACUCUAACGGCUACUUCAACCCUUCCAAUAGUCAAAAUUUAUUCUCUAGCUAUUUUCAAGCCUAUUAAAAGUUAAAGAAUCAUUUGAGAAGUAAAAGAAAAGAAAUGUAAAAAGAGAUCAUUAUUUCUUGGAGUGAUUAUUGAAUAUUUUUGAAAAAAGAGAGUUUUUGUGCAAAGCAUGCAGUAAGCUUUCUAAAAAGAUCUUCACCUUCAUCAACUACAUCCUCUUAAGUAUAUAAAAAAAAAAAAUUCAAGCAUCAAAAGAGCCACUUUUUAGCAUCUUCUCUAAGCUUAAAGAGUUUUUCUUUGAUCUGUUUAUUUGUGUUCAAAAUCUUAUCUUGUAUUUUGGGUUUCUUUAUAAGUUUUUUUAGGGUGAAAGAUAUUUGGAGUAGAUCCAUCCAAAUUUAGAAUUGGAUAUUGUAAGGUUUUAGUUAGUGAGUCCAAAAAACCAACUAGGUUGGAUUGUAAUUUUAGAAAAUAAUUGUGUAAAAUUUUGGUUGAUGAGCUUAAAAAAUCAACUAGAUUUGAUUGUGAGCUUAGAUAAAACAAGAGCACUAUAAUCAGAGUAAUUAUAGUGAAAUUCCUAUAUAGAGCUGGCUUAGGG